GUUGCUUCGUGUCGGGCCAUCCGAAAAUUCGCUAAUAGUUUUCAAAAUUUGCCCGGCCAGUUGGGGAACAACAUUCAAACUUUGCAUAAUGCUUUAAACGUACAACUGUGAGAUACCAACCAACAUGAGCCAAUGUCAAAGUUAACCAAGUGCAGGAAACACAGCACAUAGCCGAACAGCUCUCAGAGAUUCGCCAACGAACCAAAAACAGAUCAGGAAUACAUUAGCAGAGUUGCCUUAGGAUUAAGCUUUAGCUACCAACGACCAUACGACACGGACCCGCCAGGAUCCACAGAUUCCAUUUAGAAUGCCCGCAGCCGCCACCACGAAGCAGCGCCCGCCCGCCUCCGUUGCCGAGGAGGGCAUGACGCCCAAGAAGACUGCCCUCAUCAUUGUGACCGUCAUCGGAUGCAUCGCCAUUCUGUGGCCAAAGGUCUUUCAUCCCAUGAUGUUUGGAGGAGUAGCGCCGCCCAAGCAAAACUUGAAGGAUCAGCGGGCCGGUCCAGGCGGCUGUUGCGAUGUGGUGCUUGACAGGGAGCACUUUAUGAAUGCCUCCAAGCCGGAAGGCCCAGAGCCCUUUGGGCCGCAUUUGUACCGCAAGCAGAUCAAUGUUUACACCGGCGAGAUAAGUCUGCGCCAGGAGCGUCCAGCCCACCUGCAUCCGGAAUCCAUAUAUCAGGCGAUGCGAGAGCGUGGGCGGGCCAUUCCGGCCACUCCCACCGUUCCCAUAGUGGAGCGCAAGAGUUCGCCCAGUAAUCCGCCUCCGCGAAUUGUUGACGGCCGGCCUGGACCGAUUCCUGGUAUGCGUCCGCCCAUGGGCGCCGGGGCUCUGCACCAGCCCCAGCAGCGUGGCAGUAGUAUGGGAUUCCUGAUGCCACUUUACACAAUCGGAAUUGUUGUGUUCUUCGGUUACACGAUAAUGAAGAUUAUGUUCAAGAAGCAAAUACCCAACUCUCCAUACGGCGCAGCCCCUUCGGAUCCUAGUUUCCGGCAAGAGGUCUUCGGCCAACAGAAUCACAGCCAGGUGGAGGACCUGGGUGGCAACAAACUGGGCUGGCGAGAGCACCGUACAAGAGCUGCAGCAGUCGAGAAGUCGCCGACACCCAAGGACACCGGCAGGGAGCUCUACAAUGCCAGUGUAUCGGCCGCCGAAGUGGCCAACAGCAUGUCCAGUUCGCUGAAGCAUCACCAGCAAGAGAAGGAGGUCGAGCAGCUGAUGGAGAUCGAGAAACUGCGCCAGAAGCUCGAGAACACGGAGCGGGCGAUGGCCAAGCUGAUUGCUGAAAUGAACACCGACCAGGUCCAGGCAAAGAUGAUUGCCAUGAAGUUUCUCAAGCGGCAGCCAAACCUCUAAGACAAAAUAAGACCAUCAUUCAGUUCACAUAGAAUCCAUCAGUAAACAGAUCCAAAAUCAGACCAGAUCACAACUAAUUGUAACGGCCAUACAAGGUUUAAUAGACGCUGCCGAUGAGCAAUUGAACGGCCCAGACAAGCUGAGGGCGACGAGCGAC
rnacentral:misc_RNA from 1 species